ACCCCUAUUGGCCCCCGCGGCGUCCCGUCGCCGCGUCGCGUUGCUGGCCCGUCGGAGCGACGCCGCUCGGGUCAGUCGGCGGCCGGACUGGGAAGAUGGACGCAGCUACUCUGACCUACGACACUCUCCGGUUUGCUGAGUUUGAAGAUUUUCCUGAGACCUCAGAGCCCGUUUGGAUACUGGGUAGAAAAUACAGCAUUUUCACAGAAAAGGACGAGAUCUUGUCUGAUGUGGCAUCUAGACUUUGGUUUACAUACAGGAAAAACUUUCCAGCCAUUGCCAUUCAUCAUUGUUGUAUACCCUGGAGCUGGAAGGAGAUGGGGACUGGUUCUCAGCCUUGCCUCUCACCGGCGGAGAACUGAGGCCGGAGGUGAGGGCCGGGCUGGCGUCAUGCUUCCUCAGUGCCAGGAGGUUGUCGGGACAUUUCACUCUCCA
rnacentral:sRNA from 1 species